GGGUGUGACAAUACCAGCAGUAAUGCAUAGGAUCCCAUCAGAACUCUGAAGUUUAGCAUGCUUGCAUGAUAGUAGUACUAUUAUGGGUGACCUUCUAGGACAUCCUCGUUUUGUACCUU
rfam:Gossypium hirsutum cultivar TM-1 unplaced genomic scaffold scaffold4672.1, whole genome shotgun sequence